rnacentral:tRNA from 2 species
GGAGAGGUACCCAAGUGGUUGAAGGGGACGGUUUGCUAAACCGUUAGAUCGGUUUUUAGCCGGUGCGGGGGUUCGAAUCCCCCCCUCUCCGCCA